CAUUAAGCCGCUUCAGUGGCCAGAAAAGCUAGGGGCCAGAUCUCAGGGGAGAGAGGGUAGUCAUGCCAGGGCUGCAGGGGCAGACCUCAGCUGGGAGGUCACCAGCUCUGGGGGCCCAGGUUGGGAAAGGUUAGAUAGGAAGUUUGCAUAUGGGGCCCCUCUAUAUUCUAUAUAUGAAAUACCUUAUGUUGUGACACUAACCCCCUGCUCAUAGGCAAAGAGGAGCCUCCCAGGCACCAAACUGCGUAGAAUAUAUAUAGUCAGGAGCUGUGGAUGUUGGUAUUUGACCCUGGAAUGUGAAGACUGCCCAUAGAUAGUACUUGGAGCCCCUGUGGCUGGGACUGUGUGGAUAAGAUGGGAAGGAGCAGCCAUAUCAGUCUCUUGGACCUAUGUUGAAGUUUGCAGAGAUGGAUGAGUAGAGGCUGGAGCUGGGCUGAAGCUCCUCCCACCUCCGACCCCAGCCUCCUGGAACUCCCAGUCAGAGAUAAGUCCCCUUGACUCACAGCUUUCUCUUCACCCAAUCCCUUCAGAUCAGAAGAAAAGUCAGAACCACUUCUGGGAACACAGUGGGAAACUGAGGCAGGUGAGUGAGGUCAAAGCACUUCAGGGAUUACGGGGACAGAGACCUCAGAAAGAAUCUACUUUGGACUUUGGACGGAAGUAUUCCCUCCGCAAGAUUCAACUGAGCCCCUCUAGGAGCAGCAGCUCUCCUACCUAGGGGCUCCCUAGCUUUCCAGCUGUCCCCUUGCUCCGGGCCUGCCCUGGCCCCCGCCGCUCUCCGACCAGCCCCUCCUCCCGCGGGCUGCAGGGGAUUGGCGGGCCGGGGGCGGGCCGGGG